rnacentral:lncRNA from 1 species
UGUUUCCAAAGGCUUCCAAUCAUCAAGUUUCAUCUUUAUGCCACAAUGUGCAAGCUUCAAGGAGUAAAUAAUUGGAGAUGUAGCAACCCAUUUUGGAAUUUCCUUCAAAUGAAACAUGUUUCUUGAUAAAGAUCUAAUGUAUCAAGUGCUUUAAAUUUUCCUAGAAAAUCUGGGAUUUUCCCGGAAAGUGAAUUGUGCCCUAGCUCAAGGUACCUUAGGGUUGGAUAUAGAGAUGAAAUUGAAAGUGGAAUAUUCCCGGAAAAUUUGUUGUGAGAAAGUUGGAGAAUAAUAAGGUUUUUUAAGGAAGUGAAAAUAUCAGGUAUGUUACCACUAAGUUGGUUUCCUUGGAGACUAAGGUAUGUGAGAUUUGUUAGGUUUUUAAGGGAUACUGGAAUGGUUCCUGUGAGAAAAUUGUUACCUAGUUUUAACUGAGUUAAUUUAGUCAAUGCAGAUAUUGAACUAGGAAUUGGUCCUGUGAAUUUGUUUUCUUGUAGACUAAAUGCUUCUAAUUGGUUCAUGCUGCCUAUGUUUUGGGGUAUUGGACCAGAUAAUGUGUUAUUCUCAAUGUAGAUGUAUUUGAGAUUUGGUAGCUUGAAAAGAAAAUCAGGAAAUGGACCAGAAAUUUUGAGGAGGUUUAUCAAGUAGAUUCCAUCAAGGAAUUUGAGU